rnacentral:rRNA from 1 species
GGGCUGUUGCUGGGCUCUUCUAGAGUAAUGUGCACGCUUGUCGUUAUUUUUGUUUUUCUCCACCUGUGCACCUUUUUGUAGACCUUGGAGAGAAUUGUCUUGAGCAAUUUUGGGGACUGCCGUGCCUUUUGAAUGGAAGGCCAGCUUUCCCUUGUCUCUCUAGGUUCUAUGUUAUUCACAUACUCCUAUGAAUGUAAUAGAAUGUUGAUCUGGGUCUUUUAGUGCCCAUAAAGUUUUAUACAACUUUCAGCAAUGGAUCUCUUGGCUCUCGCAUCGAUGAAGAACGCAGCGAAAUGCGAUAAGUAAUGUGAAUUGCAGAAUUCAGUGAAUCAUCGAAUCUUUGAACGCACCUUGCGCUCCUUGGUAUUCUGAGGAGCAUGCCUGUUUGAGUGUCAUUAAAUUCUCAACCACACUGAUUUUGAAUCAGCGUGGCUUGGAUUUGGGGGGGAAAAUUUGUCGUGUGGGCUUUUUGUAUAGUCUGCUCCCCUGAAAUUGAUUAGCGGUACCUUUGUGGAACUGUCUACAGGUGUGAUAAUUAUCUACAUCCUAGACGUCUGCUGGAAUGCUGCUUUCUAAACCCUACUUGUAUUGACAAUCUUGACCUCAAAUCAGGUAGGACUACCCGCUGAACUUAAGCAUAUCAAUAAGCGGAGGAAAAGAAACUAACAAGGAUUCCCGUAGUAACUGCGAGUGAAGUGGGAAAAGCUCAAACUUAAAAUCUGGCAGUCAUUUGGCUGUCCGAGUUGUAAUCUAGAGAAGUGUUGCCCGUGCUGGACCAUGUACAAGUCUCCUGGAAUGGAGCAUCAUAGAGGGUGAGAAUCCUGUC